UGAUGAACUUCAUUCUUAUUGAUGUAGAACAAGCAAUGAGAAAGAAAAACGAAUGUGGCAAAAGAACAAAUUGUCUGACUCUAUAAUUUUGUUGUCAAUUCAAUGAACAACAACCUGAUGCCAAGGAGUCUAUAAGAAAGUUUGUGUCGGCAAAAAAAAACUAUGAAAUAGAAAACCCUAACCCUUGCAAGAAGUAAAUUACCCAAAUAUCCUAUAUAGAUAAAUUAAGUUUUUUCUAGAAUAACUAGUUCUAAAAUCUUUGAUUGGCAGUCAUGCAUAUACAACAUUCAUGUCAUAUCUAUGUUUUAGCACACCAAAUUUGUUCUGACUGUUGUAGAAACUGCAGUUAUGAGAGUUAAGGGGCUUAUCUACUUUUGAAUCGAGUAUUUGACGCUUCCAUUCAAUGAUUUAGUCUCAUGUUACCAUUUGAAAUCUAAGAAUGAGUAAUGCUUUGUCCGUUUGAUUGCUCAAAGAAGGAAAGUAACUUUGUUAUUUUAGCUCCCUGGCUAUCAAACUGAUCAUAAGUAUCAAUCACUAGGAUAUUCUCAGUUUGAAGGUCUUGAUGUGAGAUUGCUUGCCUUGAGCAUUUGUCUAUUUGCUUUGGCAGAUAUGCAAUGACCGGACAGUUGAA
rnacentral:misc_RNA from 1 species